AUUCAUUCUUUGGAUUCUUCCUGUCCCCGUGGCCACAGGGAGACUUUGUCUCCUGGGCAUCCACUGGGAGAAACGUAAUGAUCAGUGAAUCGGGCACAGGAGGGACCUGAAGAGUGGCAGAGGAAGAACUGGGAACAUGCUGCUGACCAGAAGCAGGGGCUGGAGCAGUCUUUAUCUGUCACCUGCCCUUGUGCAGGGAGAGCAGGAUGGCAUCCAAGGUAAACCACCUAUUCCCAAGAUUCCAGGGAGUGAGCAUUUGACAAUAUUCAACCUGCACUGCUAAAAAGCCAAUAUUUGACUGCUGAUUGUGCUAAGAAAUGUAAGAAGAAACUCAGCAUUUUGCUUGGACUCUUGCCUGCAAGUGAGUUCAGGAAAGUCACCUUAUUUGGAAGAGAUUCUGCUCAUAUAAUUAAGAUAAAGGACCUUGAGAUGAGGAUCUGGAUAGUCUGGGUGAAUCUUCAAUCCAACAAUAAAUGCUAUCAUGAAGGACAAACAGAGGAGAAGCAGAGGUCAAGGGCUGCUGACAGCCACCCACCAGAGUUGGAAGAGACAAGGAAUGACUCGCCUCUAGAGCCUUUGCAGGGAGCCACGCCUGCUAACACCUUGAUUUUAGACU